UUACGGAAGGCAGCAGUUGGGAAUAUUGCGCAAUGGGCGACAGCCUGACGCAGCGACGCCGCAUGAAGGAAGAAGCCCCUCGGGGUGUAAACUUCUUUUAUAAGGGACGAUUGUGACGGUACCUUAUGAAUAAGGACCUGCUAACUACGUGCCAGCAGCAGCGGUAAUACGUAGGGUCCGAGUGUUGUCCGGAUUUAUUGGGCGUAAAGCGCAUGUAGGUGGUUUGCCAAGUCGAAUUUUAAAGCCCGGGGCUUAACUCCGGGUAGGGAUUCGAAACUGGUUUACUUUGAGAAUAGUAGGGGCAAGCGGAAUUCCCGGUGUAGGAGUAAAAUCCUUUGAUAUCGGGAGGAACACCAAUGGCGAAGGCAGCUUGCUAGACUAUUUCUGACACUGAGAUGCGAAAGCGUGGGUAGCGAACGGGAUUAGAUACCCUUGUAC
rnacentral:rRNA from 1 species